AGCGAACGCUGGCGGCAGGCCUAACACAUGCAAGUCGAACGAACUCUUCGGAGUUAGUGGCGGACGGGUGAGUAACACGUGGGAACGUGCCUUUAGGUUCGGAAUAACUCAGGGAAACUUGUGCUAAUACCGAAUGUGCCCUUCGGGGGAAAGAUUUAUCGCCUUUAGAGCGGCCCGCGUCUGAUUAGCUAGUUGGUGAGGUAAAGGCUCACCAAGGCGACGACCAGUAGCUGGUCUGAGAGGAUGAUCAGCCACAUUGGGGCAGAGACACGGCCCAAACUCCUACGGGAGGCAGCAGUGGGGAAUCUUGCGCAAUGGGAGAAAGCCUGACGCAGCCAUGCCGCGUGAAUGAUGAAGGUCUUAGGAUUGUAAAAUUCUUUCACCGGGGACGAUAAUGACGGUACCCGGAGAAGAAGCCCCGGCUAACUUCGUGCCAGCCGCCGCAGUAA
rnacentral:rRNA from 1 species